rnacentral:lncRNA from 1 species
ACUGGUCAAUCCCUUUCUUAACUCUUCUCUUUUAAACAACAUCGAAGUUUGACUCUAGCUAUAUAUGGAGAUGGAGAAGAUGGAGAAGGAGGAUGACACCAUUAUUAUUGGCGCCAUCAUCACUGUCGUAAUAGGGUAGUGGUAGCAAAUAGAUAUCACGGUCCGAUGCAUGCAUGUGUAAUGCAUUACUUGGGAUCCAACCCAAUCCAGUAUAGCUAGUAGAAGACGACUUAAAGUAUUGUUAGCACUAAAGGUAAUUAUUUGGCGGUGUAGGCGGUGUUGGCCUUCUAGUUGGCAGGGAUGACAUCGUCGUAGAUGGUAUUGGUGCCUCCCUCGGCAAUGAGGCGAACGGUGAGGGGUCCCUUAAGCAGUUUGUCGCUGUCCUUCCUCCAGAUGGCGCCCCAGGAGUGCUUCAGGGGCUCGCACGUGUCGGAGCCCUUCUCCUUGACGUCCACCACCACAAUGUCACCGUCGCCGUCGACGUACUUGACCAGCAACGCCAGGUAAUUGGGGUUGCACCCCUUUUCAAGGUGGAAGGUGAUCUUGGAGCCGUACUUGCACUUGACCCUUCGGAACUGCAUGUCGACGAUGCCCGCCUUGCACGGCUUCUCCUCCUCGUCCUUCUUGGCAAUGGCGCUGAACGCCGUGCCUGCCAAAUCGAAGUGGUACACCGCGAUAGGCUCAUAGUUCAUGUCCGUGAUGUGCACCACCAUGGGCUUGCUGGAGCACUCUGCAGGCUUAUUGCACUUGAUCUUGAAGCAGGGCCUACAACCCAGACCAUCCUUGAAGAUGGGGAUGUUGCCGCAUGCACCCAUGCUAUUGAAGGGGGGCUUGUUCACGUCCUUGUACCCAUAGCCGCCGCCGUUGUCGUCGAGACCGGCGCCCGUCGGCUUGCCAUACCAUGUCGCUUUAGCGUCCAGCCAGUCCUUGCCAUAGGUGGUCGUGAUGAUCUUACCAGGGGGACCUUGGGAGGACCGCACGAGGCGCCGCUCACCAAGAACACCAACGCCUUAGCCAUCGCCACAUGUGCCUACAUCGACGACCACAUGUUGCUCACAUUCACAGCCAUGUUUUGUCUUGGAUCAGUGAAUGGUACUAUGCUACGAUGAAUGAGCUGGUAUGCCUGAAUUUAUGGUUGUGCGUGCCAACGGUUGGACGAUCGAGCUUGCAACCGUGAAGCGUGCGCAUGCAUGCACCAACGAUGAGGUAGAUCUUGCAUGGUCGAGAGAGCUAUUCUCUUGACCGCCAGUUAUUAAUUGGUUUCGUAUAUUGGAGGUGACCAUGCAUGGUAGCUCAUCAUACAAAGUUGCUCGUAUCGUCGCGAUACUUAUGCCAUUGUGCUACUUUGGCUAAUGGUGAAGCGAGGACUCUCCUUCUUCUCGCUUUGAAAGGGAAAUAGCCUCAACAUUUCCUAUAAUCGAUUUUGGUGUUUGACGUCCAUCACAAACCAUAUGGACUAAUUAGUUGGCCUAGUGGACAUUUUUCCCACGUGCAUAAAGUUCACAUAAACAUACAAAGAAAAUGACUUGAGGGAAUUCUACAAAGUUUGGAGCAUACAAGUUCUUCUGCUACCAGUAGCGCACCAGACACUGUCCGGUGUGCAUCGGACACUGUCUGGUACCCUGGCUGAGCACCUCGCGAACUGGUCGCUCUCGGGUUUUCUCAGUGUUAGCCCGCUAAAAUUCAUCAAACUGUCCGGUGCACCACCAGACUAUCCGGUGAGACAACGGAGCAACGAUCAACUUCGCUGACUACAGGGCAGUCUGCAGCGCAGAAGUCAGAAGUCAGUCUGCAAAGUCAGAACACACCAGACUGUUCGGUCUGCCACCGGACUGUCCGGUGCCACGAGAAGACAGUAGACUUCAAUGGUCAAUAGCUCCAAACCCCAAUGGUCAACAGCUCCAAACCCCAACGGUCGGCUCACGUGGCACUCACCGGAUAGUAAACAAUGUAGUGUUCCGUGCACCACCGGACUGUCCGGUGUGCCCAUCUACAGCAACGGCUGGAAUAGUGAUUAGGGCUAUAAAUACCCCUGACCACCACCAUUCAAGCCACCCAAGCAUUGUAACUUCCUCAUUCAAUACUAGAGCAAAAGAAUACACUCCAAACACACAAUCAAAGCAUCAACCGCUCUCCAAGCUUCAAAAUCAAGUCAAGUGAUCAAAAGUGCUUAGUGACUUGAGAGAGGGUGAUUUGUGUUUGUUUUGUUGCUCUUGUUGCUUGGUUGCAUUCUUCUUCUCAUUCUAAACUUCUCAAGUGUUUUGUAAAGCAAGCGAGAGACACCUAAUUGUGUGGUGAUCCUUGCGGGGUCUUAGUGACACGUGUGAUUAAGAAGAUGCACUUAACCGGUCUAAGUGACCGAUUGAGAGAGGAAAAGGGUUGGAAUAGACCCAGCCUUUGUGGCCUCCUCAAUGGGGAGUAGGUUCCUUGGAACCGAACCUCUGGAAACAAAUCACCGUGUUCACUUGUGUUGAUCUUUAUCACUCGAUUUGUUUCUUCCCUCUCCUCUCUUCCUAAAAGUUCCCUUGCUCACAUUGAUUUGAGUUUGAUACCAAAGUUAUCCGCAUUGAUUGAGCAACUCAAAGCAAGGAGAACUAUCUCCCGCUCUUCGAAUUUAAUAUUAUUUAUCUCUAACCCUAACCCCGUGUGAAGUGCGUGUUCAAAGUUUAUAAUUUUCAAGUUUCGCCUAUUCACCCUCUCUAGGCGACUUUCAUGCUUCCUAUGGAAGAAUGUCAUUGUUGCCACAUAUUUUUAAGUCAUUAUAUUGGAGCAAAGUGGCGUAACCAUGUCAACCUCUAUUAUUCGUGGAAACGAUCCUUCAGGGAUUGUCGCAAGUUAAUUGGUAUAUCAAAUGUGCGAAUGUAGGAUUUAAACAUAGCGUAAUCUUCAAGACUCCACAUCUAAAUGAACAACUAGAAAGAUGACUUGUCUAGACAAUUAUAGGGAAUUGAACCAUAAACAUUCGAGGUACUCCAAUUAUACAAAAAAUGUAAUUAUGAGAUUCGUGUUGGACAAACGAGGUCAAAUUUAACCAAAUUUAUAUUCAGUAUUAUUAAUAUUUAUAUCAAAUAUAUUAUACUAGAACUUUUAAUACAUAGUAAAAUGAACUGCGAGCUUUCCAAAGAACCCCAACAUUCUUCUUUGCUAAAAAAGACUAUUUUGUAUGCGCAUGCAUAGGCAACUAAUUCUUCUAACUAGUUGUUAUAACAUUUUCUUUUAUAUAUACUAGUCAGUUGUCAGUAUGUUACUAUGGUUUUCAUAUUCACAAUAUUUAUAAUAUACAUUCUUUCUAGAACAUGAAUAAAUAUGUGUUUCAGUGGUUAGACGCUAAGCAUAGGAGGAAUGGUUCUAACCCUAGGUUCUACAUUUUUUGGAUUUUCUCAUGGGAGAACUUAACGCAUAAAGGGCGACAUCUUAAUUAAUGUUGGAAAUUGUACAAGUAAUGCAUGCAAACGGUGAAGACAGAAGUUUUAUCUCAUGAGUAGAAAGCUCAUGUUAUGUAGCACUAAUGAACACCUUAGCUUCGACCUUCAAAGAACGACCAACGCACGUUAAGGAUGGCCCUACAUCUAGAAUCAGCAUGUACUAUCAUAUAUUUCAAUUAGUCAUAAAAAAAUAUGUAUUCUAUUAAAAUGUAGCCAUGCAUGAUAAAGUUAGGAUUACGUAGGAGAUACAUGGACAACACAACAUUCAUGGAUCCUUUGAUAAAAAAUGAAGGCCUAUCAAAUAUUUCAUUAGGCACUUAUUAUAUAACUUGUCAAUCCAUUUCUUAACUUUUCUCUUUUAAACAACAGAGAAGUCUCACUCUAGCUAUAUAUGGAGAUGAAGAAGAUGGAGAAGGAGGAUGACACCAUCAUUGUUGGCGCCAGCAUCACUGUCGUAAUAGGGUAGUGGUAGCAAAUAGAUAUCACGGUCCAAUGCAUGCAUGUGUAAUGCAUUGCUUGGGAUCCAACCAAUUCUAGUAUAGCUAGCAUAGGCCGGCUUAAAGUAUUGUCAGCACUAAAGUUAAUUAUUUGGCGGUGUAGGCGGUGUUGGCCUUCCAGUUGGCAGGGAUGACAUCGUCGUAGACGGACUUGGUGCCUCCCUCGGUAGUGAGGCGGACGGUGAGGGGUCCCUUAAGCGGUUUGUCGCUGUCCUUCCUCCAGAUGGCGCCCCAGGAGUGCUUUAGGGGCUCGUACGUGUCAGAGCCCUUCUCCUUGACGUCCACUGCCACAAUGUCACCGUCGCCAUCGACGUACUUGACCAGCAGCGCCAGGUAGUUGGGGCCGCACCCCUUUUCAAGGUGGAAGGUGACCUUGGAGUCGUACUUGCACUUAACCCUUCGGAACUGCAUGUCGAUGAUGCCCGCCUUGCGCAGCUUCUCCUCCUCGCCCUUCUUGGCCAUGGCGCCGAACGCCGUGCCUGCUAAAUCGAAGUGGUACGCCGCGAUAGGCUCAUAGUUCAUGUCCGUGAUGUGCACCACCACGGGCUUGCCGGAGCACUCCACAGGCUUAUCGCACUUGAUCUCGAAGCAGGACCCACAACCCAGACCAUCCUUGAAGAUGGGGAUGUUGCCGCAUGCGCCCAUGCUAUUGAAGGGGGGCUUGUUCACGUCCUUGUACCCGCAGCCGCCACCGUUAUCGUCGGGACCGGCACCCGUCGGCUUGCCAUACCAUGUCGCUUUAGCGUCCAGCCAGUCCUUGCCAUAGGUGGCCGUGAUGUUCUUGCCUGGGGGGACUUUGGGAGGACCGCACCAUGCGCCGCUCACCAAGAACACCAACGCCACAACCAUCGCAACCUGUGCCCGCAUCGACGACCACAUGGUUCUCACAUUCACAGCCAUGUUUUGUCUUGGAUUAGUGAAUGGUACUAUGCUACGAUGAAUGAGCGGGUAGGCCUGAAUUUAUGGUUGUGUGUGCCAACGGUUGGACGAUCGAGCUUGCAACCGUGAAGCGCGCGCAUGCAUGCACCAACGAGGAGGUAGAGUUUGCAUGGUCGAGCGAGCUUUUCUCUUGGCCACCAGUUUACUAAUUGGUUCCGUAAGUCGAAGGUGACCAUGCAUGGUAGCUCUGCAUGCAAAGCUGCUCGUAUCAUCGCGAUACUUAUGCCAUGGUGCUACUUUGGCUAAUGGUGAAGCGAGGACUCUCCUUCUUCUCGCUUUGAAAGGGAAAUAACCUCAACAUUUCCUAUAAUCGAUUUUGGUGUUUGACGUCCAUCACAAAACCAUAUGGACUAAUUAGUUUGCCUAGUGGACAUUUUUCCCACGUGCAUAAAGUUCACAUAAACAUACAAAGAAAAGGAAUUGAGUGAAUUCUACAAAGUUUGGAGCAUACAAGUUCUUGUGCUACUAGUAGCGCACCGGACACUGUCCGGUGUGCAUCGGACACUGUCUGGUACCCUGGCUGAGCACCUCGCGAACUGGUCGCUCUCAGGUUUUCUCAGCGUUAGUCCGCUAAAAUUCAUCGAACUGUCCGAUGCACCACCAGACUAUCCGGUGAGACAACGGAGCAACGAUCAACUUCGCUGACUACAGGGCAGUCUGCAGCGCAGAAGUCAGAAGUCAGUCUGCAAAGUCAGAACACACCAGACUGUUCGGUGUGCCACCAGACUAUCCAGUGCCACAAGAAGAUAGUAGACUUCAACGGUCAAUAGCUCCAAACCCCAAUGGUCAACAGCUCCAAACCCCAACGGUCGACUCACGUGGCACUCACCGGAUAUUAAACAAUGCAGUGUUCCGUGCACCACCGGACUGUCCGGUGUGCCCAUCUACAGCAACGGCUGGAAUAGUGGUUAGGGCUAUAAAUACCCCCGACCACCACCAUUCAAGCCACCCAAGCAUUGCAACUUCCUCAUUCAAUACUAGAGCAAAAGAAUACACUCCAAACACACAAUCAAAGCAUCAACCCCUCUCCAAGCUUCAAAAUCAAGUCAAGUGAUCAAAAGUGCUUAGUGACUUGAGAGAGGGUGAUUUGUGUUUGUUUUGUUGCUCUUGUUGCUUGGUUGCAUUCUUCUUCUCAUUCUAAACUUCUCAAGUGUUUUGUAAAGCAAGCGAGAGACACCUAAUUGUGUGGUGAUCCUUGCGGGGUCUUAGUGACACGUGUGAUUAAGAAGAUGCACUUAACCGGUCUAAGUGACCGAUUGAGAGAGGAAAAGGGUUGGAAUAGACCCAGCCUUUUGGCCUCCUCAAUGGGGAGUAGGUUCCUUGGAACCGAACCUCUGGAAACAAAUCACCGUGUUCGCUUGUGUUGAUCUUUAUCACUCGAUUUGUUUCUUCCCUCUCCUCUCUUCCUAAUAGUUCCCUUGCUCACAUUGAUUUGAGUUUGAUACCAAAGUUAUCCGCAUUGAUUGAGCAACUCAAAGCAAGGAGAACUAUCUCCCGCUCUUCGAAUUUAAUAUUAUUUAUCUCUAACCCUAACCCCGUGUGAAGUGCGUGUUCAAAGUUUAUAAUUUUCAAGUUUCGCCUAUUCACCCUCUCUAGGCGACUUUCAUGCUUCCUAUGGAAGAAUGUCAUUGUUGCCACAUAUUUUUAAGUCAUUAUAUUGGAGCAAAGUGGCGUAACCAUGUCAACCUCUAUUAUUCGUGGAAACGAUCCUUCAGGGAUUGUCGCAAGUUAAUUGGUAUAUCAAAUGUGCGAAUGUAGGAUUUAAACAUAGCGUAAUCUUCAAGACUCCACAUCUAAAUGAACAACUAGAAAGAUGACUUGUCUAGACAAUUAUAGGGAAUUGAACCAUAAACAUUCGAGGUACUCCAAUUAUACAAAAAUGUAAUUAUGAGAUUCGUGUUGGACAAACGAGGUCAAAUUUAACCAAAUUUAUAUUCAGUAUUCUUAAUAUUUAUAUCAAAUAUAUUAUACUAGAACUUUUAAUACAUAGUAAAAUGAACUGCGAGCUUUCCAAAGAACCCCAACAUUCUUCUUUGCUAAAAAAGACUAUUUUGUAUGCGCAUGCAUAGGCAACUAAUUCUUCUAACUAGUUGUUAUAACAUUUUCUUUUAUAUAUACUAGUCAGUUGUCAGUAUGUUACUAUGGUUUUCAUAUUCACAAUAUUUAUAAUAUACAUUCUUUCUAGAACAUGAAUAAAUAUGUGUUUCAGUGGUUAGACGCUAAGCAUAGGAGGAAUGGUUCUAACCCUAGGUUCUACAUUUUUUGGAUUUUCUCAUGGGAGAACUUAACGCAUAAAGGGCGACAUCUUAAUUAAUGUUGGAAAUUGUACAAGUAAUGCAUGCAAACGGUGAAGACAGAAGUUUUAUCUCAUGAGUAGAAAGCUCAUGUUAUGUAGCACUAAUGAACACCUUAGCUUCGACCUUCAAAGAACGACCAACGCACGUUAAGGAUGGCCCUACAUCUAGAAUCAGCAUGUACUAUCAUAUAUUUCAAUUAGUCAUAAAAAAAUAUGUAUUCUAUUAAAAUGUAACCAUGCAUGAUAAAGUUAGGAUUACGUAGGAGAUACAUGGACAACACAACAUUCAUGGAUCCUUUGAUAAAAAAUGAAGGCCUAUCAAAUAUUUCAUUAGGCACUUAUUAUAUAACUUGUCAAUCCAUUUCUUAACUCUUCUCUUUUAAACAACAGCGAAGUCUCACUCUAGCUAUAUAUGGAGAUGAAGAAGAUGGAGAAGGAGGAUGACACCAUCAUUGUUGGCGCCAGCAUCACUGUCGUAAUAGGGUAGUGGUAGCAAAUAGAUAUCACGGUCCAAUGCAUGCAUGUGUAAUGCAUUGCUUGGGAUCCAACCAAUUCUAGUAUAGCUAGCAUAGGCCGGCUUAAAGUAUUGUCAGCACUAAAGUUAAUUAUUUGGCGGUGUAGGCGGUGUUGGCCUUCCAGUUGGCAGGGAUGACAUCGUCGUAGACGGACUUGGUGCCUCCCUCGGUAGUGAGGCGGACGGUGAGGGGUCCCUUAAGCGGUUUGUCGCUGUCCUUCCUCCAGAUGGCGCCCCAGGAGUGCUUCAGGGGCUCGUACGUGUCAGAGCCCUUCUCCUUGACGUCCACUGCCACAAUGUCACCGUCGCCAUCGACGUACUUGACCAGCAGCGCCAGGUAGUUGGGGCCGCACCCCUUUUCAAGGUGGAAGGUGACCUUGGAGUCGUACUUGCACUUAACCCUUCGGAACUGCAUGUCGAUGAUGCCCGCCUUGCGCAGCUUCUCCUCCUCGCCCUUCUUGGCCAUGGCGCCGAACGCCGUGCCUGCUAAAUCGAAGUGGUACGCCGCGAUAGGCUCAUAGUUCAUGUCCGUGAUGUGCACCACCACGGGCUUGCCGGAGCACUCCACAGGCUUAUCGCACUUGAUCUCGAAGCAGGACCCACAACCCAGACCAUCCUUGAAGAUGGGGAUGUUGCCGCAUGCGCCCAUGCUAUUGAAGGGGGGCUUGUUCACGUCCUUGUACCCGCAGCCGCCACCGUUAUCGUCGGGACCGGCACCCGUCGGCUUGCCAUACCAUGUCGCUUUAGCGUCCAGCCAGUCCUUGCCAUAGGUGGCCGUGAUGUUCUUGCCUGGGGGGACUUUGGGAGGACCGCACCAUGCGCCUCUCACCAAGAACACCAACGCCACAACCAUCGCAACCUGUGCCCGCAUCGACGACCACAUGGUUCUCACAUUCACAGCCAUGUUUUGUCUUGGAUUAGUGAAUGGUACUAUGCUACGAUGAAUGAGCGGGUAGGCCUGAAUUUAUGGUUGUGUGUGCCAACGGUUGGACGAUCGAGCUUGCAACCGUGAAGCGCGCGCAUGCAUGCACCAACGAGGAGGUAGAGUUUGCAUGGUCGAGCGAGCUUUUCUCUUGGCCACCAGUUUACUAAUUGGUUCCGUAAGUCGAAGGUGACCAUGCAUGGUAGCUCUGCAUGCAAAGCUGCUCGUAUCAUCGCGAUACUUAUGCCAUGGUGCUACUUUGGCUAAUGGUGAAGCGAGGACUCUCCUUCUUCUCGCUUUGAAAGGGAAAUAACCUCAACAUUUCCUAUAAUCGAUUUUGGUGUUUGACGUCCAUCACAAAACCAUAUGGACUAAUUAGUUUGCCUAGUGGACAUUUUUCCCACGUGCAUAAAGUUCACAUAAACAUACAAAGAAAAGGAAUUGAGUGAAUUCUACAAAGUUUGGAGCAUACAAGUUCUUGUGCUACUAGUAGCGCACCGGACACUGUCCGGUGUGCAUCGGACACUGUCUGGUACCCUGGCUGAGCACCUCGCGAACUGGUCGCUCUCAGGUUUUCUCAGCGUUAGUCCGCUAAAAUUCAUCGAACUGUCUGAUGCACCACCAGACUAUCCGGUGAGACAACGGAGCAACGAUCAACUUCGCUGACUACAGGGCAGUCUGCAGCGCAGAAGUCAGAAGUCAGUCUGCAAAGUCAGAACACACCAGACUGUUCGGUGUGCCACCAGACUAUCCAGUGCCACAAGAAGAUAGUAGACUUCAACGGUCAAUAGCUCCAAACCCCAAUGGUCAACAGCUCCAAACCCCAACGGUCGACUCACGUGGCACUCACCGGAUAUUAAACAAUGCAGUGUUCCGUGCACCACCGGACUGUCCGGUGUGCCCAUCUACAGCAACGGCUGGAAUAGUGGUUAGGGCUAUAAAUACCCCCGACCACCACCAUUCAAGCCACCCAAGCAUUGCAACUUCCUCAUUCAAUACUAGAGCAAAAGAAUACACUCCAAACACACAAUCAAAGCAUCAACCCCUCUCCAAGCUUCAAAAUCAAGUCAAGUGAUCAAAAGUGCUUAGUGACUUGAGAGAGGGUGAUUUGUGUUUGUUUUGUUGCUCUUGUUGCUUGGUUGCAUUCUUCUUCUCAUUCUAAACUUCUCAAGUGUUUUGUAAAGCAAGCGAGAGACACCUAAUUGUGUGGUGAUCCUUGCGGGGUCUUAGUGACACGUGUGAUUAAGAAGAUGCACUUAACCGGUCUAAGUGACCGAUUGAGAGAGGAAAAGGGUUGGAAUAGACCCAGCCUUUUGGCCUCCUCAAUGGGGAGUAGGUUCCUUGGAACCGAACCUCUGGAAACAAAUCACCGUGUUCGCUUGUGUUGAUCUUUAUCACUCGAUUUGUUUCUUCCCUCUCCUCUCUUCCUAAUAGUUCCCUUGCUCACAUUGAUUUGAGUUUGAUACCAAAGUUAUCCGCAUUGAUUGAGCAACUCAAAGCAAGGAGAACUAUCUCCCGCUCUUCGAAUUUAAUAUUAUUUAUCUCUAACCCUAACCCCGUGUGAAGUGCGUGUUCAAAGUUUAUAAUUUUCAAGUUUCGCCUAUUCACCCUCUCUAGGCGACUUUCAUGCUUCCUAUGGAAGAAUUCAUUGUUACCACAUAUUUUUAAGUCAUUAUAUUGGAGCAAAGUUGCGUAACCAUGUCAACCUCUAUUAUUCGUGGAAACGAUCCUUCAGGGAUUGUCGCAAGUUAAUUGGUAUAUCAAAUGUGCGAAUGUAGGAUUUAAACAUAGCGUAAUCUUCAAGACUCCACAUCUAAAUGAACAACUAGAAAGAUGACUUGUCUAGACAAUUAUAGGGAAUUGAACCAUAAACAUUCGAGGUACUCCAAUUAUACAAAAAAUGUAAUUAUGAGAUUCGUGUUGGACAAACGAGGUCAAAUUUAACCAAAUUUAUAUUCAGUAUUAUUAAUAUUUAUAUCAAAUAUAUUAUACUAGAACUUUUAAUACAUAGUGAAAUGAACUGCGAGCUUUCCAAAGAACCCCAACAUUCUUCUUUGCUAAAAAGACUAUUUUGUAUGCGCAUGCAUAGGCAACUAAUUCUUCUAACUAGUUGUUAUAACAUUUUCUUUUAUAUAUACUAGUCAGUUGUCAGUAUGUUACUAUGGUUUUCAUAUUCACAAUAUUAAUAAUAUACAUUUUUUCUAGAACAUGAAUAAAUAUGUGUUUCAGUGGUUAGACGCUAAGCAUAGGAGGAAUGGUUCUAACCCUAGGUUCUACAUUUUUUGGAUUUUCUCAUGGGAGAACUUAACGCAUAAAGGGCGACAUCUUAAUUAAUGUUGGAAAUUGUACAAGUAAUGCAUGCAAACGGUGAAGACAAAAGUUUUAUCUCAUGAGUAGAAAGCUCAUGUUAUGUAGCACAAAUGAACACCUUAGCGUCGACCUUCAAAGAACGACCAACACACGUUAAGGAUGGCCCUACAUCUAGAAUCAGCAUGUACUAUCAUAUAUUUCAAUUAGUCAUAAAAAAUAUGUAUUCUAUUAAAAUGUAGCCAUGCAUGAUAAAGUUAGGAUUACGUAGGAGAUACAUGGACAACACAACAUUCAUGGAUCCUUUUAUAAAAAAUGAAGGCCUAUCAAAUAUUUCAUUAGGCACUUAUUAUAUAACGUGUCAAUCCAUUUCUUAACUCUUCUCUUUUAAACAACAGCGAAGUCUCACUCUAGCUAUAUAUGGAGAUGAAGAAGAUGGAGAAGGAGGAUGACACCAUCAUUGUUGGCGCCAGCAUCACUGUCGUAAUAGGGUAGUGGUAGCAAAUAGAUAUCACGGUCCAAUGCAUGCAUGUGUAAUGCAUUGCUUGGGAUCCAACCCAAUCUAGUAUAGCUAGCAUAGGUCGGCUUAAAGUAUUGUCAGCACUAAAGUUAAUUAUUUGGCGGUGUAGGCGGUGUUGGCCUUCCAGUUGGCAGGGAUGACAUCGUCGUAGACGGACUUGGUGCCUCCCUCGGUAGUGAGGCGGACGGUGAGGGGUCCCUUAAGCGGUUUGUCGCUGUCCUUCCUCCAGAUGGCGCCCCAGGAGUGCUUCAGGGGCUCGUAUGUGUCGGAGCCCUUCUCCUUGACGUCCACUGCCACAAUGUCACCGUCGCCGUCGACGUACUUGACCAGCAGUGCCAGGUAGUUGGGGCCGCACCCCUUUUCAAGGUGGAAGGUGACCUUGGAGUCGUACUUGCACUUAACCCUUCGGAACUGCAUGUCGAUGAUGCCCGCCUUGCGUAGCUUCUCCUCCUCGCCCUUCUUGGCCAUGGCGCCGAACGCCGUGCCUGCUAAAUCGAAGUGGUACGCCGCGAUAGGCUCAUAGUUCAUGUCCGUGAUGUGCACCACCACGGGCUUGCCGGAGCACUCCACAGGCUUAUCGCACUUGAUCUCGAAGCAGGACCCACAACCCAGACCAUCCUUGAAGAUGGGGAUGUUGCCGCAUGCGCCCAUGCUAUUGAAGGGGGGCUUGUUCACGUCCUUGUACCCGCAGCCGCCACCGUUGUCGUCGGGACCGGCACCCGUCGGCUUGCCAUACCAUGUCGCUUUAGCGUCCAACCAGUCCUUGCCAUAGGUGGCCGUGAUGUUCUUGCCUGGGGGGACUUUGGGAGGACCGCACCAUGCGCCGCUCACCAAGAACACCAACGCCACAGCCAUCGCAACAUGUGCCCGCAUCGACGACCACAUGGUUCUCACAUUCACAGCCAUGUUUUGUCUUGGAUUAGUGAAUGGUACUAUGCUACGAUGAAUGAGAGGGUAGGCCUGAAUUUAUGGUUGUGUGUGCCAACGGUUGGACGAUCGAGCUUGCAACCGUGAAGCGCGCGCAUGCAUGCACCAACGAGGAGGUAGAGUUUGCAUGGUCGAGCGAGCUUUUCUCUUGGCCACCAGUUUACUAAUUGGUUCCGUAAGUCGAAGGCGACCAUGCAUGGUAGCUCUGCAUGCAAAGCUGCUCGUAUCGUCGCGAUACUUAUGCCAUGGUGCUACUUUGGCUAAUGGUGAAGCGAGGACUCUCCUUCUUCUCGCUUUGAAAGGGAAAUAACCUCAACAUUUCCUAUAAUCGAUUUUGGUGUUUGACGUCCAUCACAAAACCAUAUGGACUAAUUAGUUUGCCUAGUGGACAUUUUUCCCACGUGCAUAAAGUUCACAUAAACAUACAAAGAAAAGGACUUGAGUGAAUUCUACAAAGUUUGGAGCAUACAAGUUCUUGUGCUACCAGUAGCGCACCGGACACUGUCCGGUGUGCAUCGGACACUGUCUGGUACCCUGGCUGAGCACCUCGCGAACUGGUCGCUCUCGGGUUUUCUCAGCGUUAGUCCGCUAAAAUUCAUCGAACUGUCCGAUGCACCACCAGACUAUCCGGUGAGACAACGGAGCAACGAUCAACUUCGCUGACUACAGGGCAGUCUGCAGCGCAGAAGUCAGAAGUCAGUCUGCAAAGUCAGAACACACCAGACUGUUCGGUGUGCCACCAGACUAUCCAGUGCCACAAGAAGACAGUAAACUUCAACGGUCAAUAGCUCCAAACCCCAAUGGUCAACAGCUCCAAACCCCAACGGUCGACUCACGUGGCACUCACCGGAUAGUAAACAAUGCAGUGUUCCGUGCACCACCGGACUGUCCGGUGUGCCCAUCUACAGCAACGGCUGGAAUAGUGGUUAGGGCUAUAAAUACCCCCGACCACCACCAUUCAAGCCACCCAAGCAUUGCAACUUCCUCAUUCAAUACUAGAGCAAAAGAAUACACUCCAAACACACAAUCAAACCAUCAACCCCUCUCCAAGCUUCAAAAUCAAGUCAAGUGAUCAAAAGUGCUUAGUGACUUGAGAGAGGGUGAUUUGUGUUUGUUUUGUUGCUCUUGUUGCUUGGUUGCAUUCUUCUUCUCAUUCUAAACUUCUCAAGUGUUUUGUAAAGCAAGCGAGAGACACCUAAUUGUGUGGUGAUCCUUGCGGGGUCUUAGUGACACGUGUGAUUAAGAAGAUGCACUUAACCGGUCUAAGUGACCGAUUGAGAGAGGAAAAGGGUUGGAAUAGACCCAGCCUUUGUGGCCUCCUCAAUGGGGAGUAGGUUCCUUGGAACCGAACCUCGAGAAACAAAUCACCGUGUUCACUUGAGUUGAUCUUUAUCACUCGAUUUGUUUCUUCCCUCUCCUCUCUUCCUAAAAGUUCCCUUGCUCACAUUGAUUUGAGUUUGAUACCAAAGUUAUCCGCAUUGAUUGAGCAACUCAAAGCAAGGAGAACUAUCUCCCGCUCUUCGAAUUUAAUAUUAUUUAUCUCUAACCCUAACCCCGUGUGAAGUGCGUGUUCAAAGUUUAUAAUUUUCAAGUUUCGCCUAUUCACCCUCUCUAGGCGACUUUCAUGCUUCCUAUGGAAGAAUGUCAUUGUUGCCACAUAUUUUUAAGUCAUUAUAUUGGAGCAAAGUGGCGUAACCAUGUCAACCUCUAUUAUUCGUGGAAACGAUCCUUCAGGGAUUGUCGCAAGUUAAUUGGUAUAUCAAAUGUGCGAAUGUAGGAUUUAAACAUAGCGUAAUCUUCAAGACUCCACAUCUAAAUGAACAACUAGAAAGAUGACUUGUCUAGACAAUUAUAGGGAAUUGAACCAUAAACAUUCGAGGUACUCCAAUUAUACAAAAAUGUAAUUAUGAGAUUCGUGUUGGACAAACGAGGUCAAAUUUAACCAAAUUUAUAUUCAGUAUUCUUAAUAUUUAUAUCAAAUAUAUUAUACUAGAACUUUUAAUACAUAGUGAAAUGAACUGCGAGCUUUCCAAAGAACCCCAACAUUCUUCUUUGCUAAAAAAGACUAUUUUGUAUGCGCAUGCAUAGGCAACUAAUUCUUCUAACUAGUUGUUAUAACAUUUUCUUUUAUAUAUACUAGUCAGUUGUCAGUAUGUUACUAUGGUUUUCAUAUUCACAAUAUUAAUAAUAUACAUUCUUUCUAGAACAUGAAUAAAUAUGUGUUUCAGUGGUUAGACGCUAAGCAUAGGAGGAAUGGUUCUAACCCUAGGUUCUACAUUUUUUGGAUUUUCUCAUGGGAGAACUUAACGCAUAAAGGGCGACAUCUUAAUUAAUGUUGGAAAUUGUACAAGUAAUGCAUGCAAACGGUGAAGACAGAAGUUUUAUCUCAUGAGUAGAAAGCUCAUGUUAUGUAACACAAAUGAACACCUUAGCGUCGACCUUCAAAGAACGACCAACACACGUUAAGGAUGGCCCUACAUCUAGAAUCAGCAUGUACUAUCAUAUAUUUCAAUUAGUCAUAAAAAAUAUGUAUUCUAUUAAAAUGUAGCCAUGCAUGAUAAAGUUAGGAUUACGUAGGAGAUACAUGGACAACACAACAUUCAUGGAUCCUUUUAUAAAAAAUGAAGGCCUAUCAAAUAUUUCAUUAGGCACUUAUUAUAUAACGUGUCAAUCCAUUUCUUAACUCUGAUCUUUUAAACAACAGCGAAGUCUCACUCUAGCUAUAUAUGGAGAUGAAGAAGAUGGAGAAGGAGGAUGACACCAUCAUUGUUGGCGCCAGCAUCACUGUCAUAAUAGGGUAGUGGUAGCAAAUAGAUAUCACGGUCCAAUGCAUGCAUGUGUAAUGCAUUGCUUGGGAUCCAACCCAAUCUAGUAUAGCUAGCAUAGGUCAGCUUAAAGUAUUGUCAGCACUAAAGUUAAUUAUUUGGCGGUGUAGGCGGUGUUGGCCUUCCAGUUGGCAGGGAUGACAUCGUCGUAGACGGACUUGGUGCCUCCCUCGGUAGUGAGGCGGACGGUGAGGGGUCCCUUAAGCGGUUUGUCGCUGUCCUUCCUCCAGAUGGCGCCCCAGGAGUGCUUCAGGGGCUCGUACGUGUCGGAGCCCUUCUCCUUGACGUCCACUGCCACAAUGUCACCGUCGCCGUCGACGUACUUGACCAACAGUGCCAGGUAGUUGGGGCCGCACCCCUUUUCAAGGUGGAAGGUGACCUUGGAGUCGUACUUGCACUUAACCCUUCGGAACUGCAUGUCGAUGAUGCCCGCCUUGCGCAGCUUCUCCUCCUCGCCCUUCUUGGCCAUGGCGC